AUGAAUUGUAUGAGCUGGAAAUGCCGGGGGCUUGGGAACCCCGAGGCAGUUCGGGAGCUUCGCAGCAUUGUGAAGCAAGAAGUUCCUGCCCUGCUGUUCGUAAUGGAAACCAAAAUCAGGGCCAAGCGAGUUGAAGAUCUGCGGCACCAGUUGGAUUUCAUGGGAUGCUUCGCGGUGGAUAGUGAGGGACUGAGAGGAGGUAUUGGCCUCUUUUUCUCCAAGGACUAUGAUGUACAAAUGAAAAACUAUAGUUCCAGCCAUAUUGAUGCGAUGGUGCGGAUGAAGGACACAAACUCCAUGGAGUGGAGAUUCACAGGAUUCUAUGGAGCGCCUAGAGUGGAGAACAGACACCCUAGCUGGCGGUUCCUCAAAACUUUGUAUGCAUUGCCACAUUCUGGUUGGCUGUGCAUGGGUGAUUUCAAUGAGACGUUGUAUGGCGAUGAGCAUUUUAGUCGGGCGGCCAGACCAGAAUGGCAAAUGCGCGCCUUUAGAGAUGUUGUUGAAGAUGUUGCUCUCCAAGAUUUGGGUUGGUCUGGACUACCCUACACUUGGGAUAAUAGGCAAGCCGAAGGUGAUAGCGUGAAGGCAAGACUGGAUCGGGCCUUUGCAAAUGAAGCCUUCCGACGGUGUUAUGAAUCCAUUUGA
rnacentral:rRNA from 1 species